rnacentral:lncRNA from 1 species
AGCUGAUUAUAAUUUUACUUCCGUUUUUAAUACACUUUUUCAGGCCGUUGUUUACCCAAAGAAUUUUGCAGUUCCUGUCAAGCAACCUGAAACGAAAAACAUGGGUUAUAUGAUUCAGCAAGACAUGUACACAUCUGAUGAUGGAAAAUACAUCUUUUUUCUUAGCCAAAGACAGGUGUAUAAGGAGCCUGUGGAGACCUGUUUAGCAUUUACAACAUGUGUAGGCUGUUUAGGAAGCAAGGAUCCAUACUGUGGUUGGUGUUUCUCGGAAAAUAGAUGCAGUACGAGGAAUACAUGCAAGUGAAUGGAUAUCUGUCUCAAGCAAUGAAAAAUGUCCAGAUGUUGUAAGCAUCAACACUACAGUAACGUCAAACAAGGAGAUACAAUUGAAGCCUUUGAUACCAUUGAUCUUGGGGCUCUGUUGCAUCGCCUUGAACAUCAUUUUGGAGCGCUACCAAACUGUCUGUAUUGAAAAUCACGUCUUGUACUGAUGUUUAACAGCUAUAAAACAGUAUAUAUUUUGCGUGCAGGAUAGAUUAAAAAGCAUAUAACAUUAUAAAUAUCAUAUUACAUUAUAAAUAUCAUAUUACAUUAUAAAUAUCAUUUAAUUCCAGAAACAAAAUAUUUUAUCAAUUAAACCAAAAAUAUUCAUGAUCAUAAAAGAUAUUCUUUUUUAAAAAUGCAAAAUUAUGAUUUGAAUGUAUGCUACCAGUCUGAAAUGAUUUAUGUAUGGUGCAGUUUAUGAUCGUCGAGCAGUAUUUGUAAUCAAGUUUAAACAUUCUUAUUUGUCCGGUCGUAAACAAACAAUGUGAAUAAUUCUAUGUCAGAUUUUAUGAAUAUUUCAUGCGGUGUUCCGCAAGGAAGCAUAUUGGGUCCUUUACUUUUUCUGUGCUAUGUUAAUGAUAUGAGUAUUAGUAUUAGUAAUAAGUGCAAAUUAACUUUAUAUGCAGAUGUUAGUGCUAUCCUAUUCUCUAAUAAAGAUCCAGAUGUAAUUGAAAAUGUUCUAGAAAGAGAGCUUGAAAACUGUAGUAAAUGGUUAGUUGACAACAAAUUAUCACUGCAUCUUGGCAAAACUGAAUGUAUCUCCUUUGGUUCUAAAAGAAAACUAGCAAAGGUUGACAAAU